rnacentral:rRNA from 1 species
GAUGAACGCUGGCGGCGUGCCUAAUACAUGCAAGUCGAGCGAACAGACGAGGAGCUUGCUCCUCUGACGUUAGCGGCGGACGGGUGAGUAACACGUGUAUCCCCUACCUAUAAGACUGGGAUAACUACGGGACACCGGCGCUAAUCCCGUAGAAUAUCUUGCACCACAUGGUUCAAUAGUGAAAUACGGUUUUGCUGUCACUUAUAGAUGGAUCGGCGCCGCAUUAGCUAGUUGGUAAGGUAAAGGCCUACCAAGGCAACGAUGCGUAGCCGCCAUGAGAGGGUGGUCGGCCACACUGGGAGGGAGACACGGUCCAGACGCCUACGGGAGGGACCAGUAGGGAAUCGUGCGCAAGGGGCGAAAGCCUGACGGAGCAGCGCCGCGUGAGGGAUGAAGGUCUUCGGAUCGGAAAACUCUGUUAUUGGGGAAGAACCAAUUUGUGAGUAACUAGGCACGUCUUGACGGUAACUAAGUAGAAAGGCACGGCUAACUUCGUG